rnacentral:tRNA from 1 species
GGAGAUGUAGCUCAGUUGAUAGAGGGUUUGCCUGGCAUGUACAAAGCCUUGGGUUCAAUUCCCAGCACCUCUU